rnacentral:rRNA from 1 species
GGCUAAAGCCCCGACGGGAGGGGAUGGCUCCGCGGCCCAUCAGGUAGACGGCGGGGUGACGGCCCACCGUGCCGACAACGGGUAGCCGGGUUGAGAGACCGACCGGCCAGAUUGGGACUGAGACACGGCCCAGACUCCUACGGGAGGCAGCAGUGGGGAAUCUUGCGCAAUGGGGGGAACCCUGACGCAGCGACGCCGCGUGCGGGACGGAGGCCUUCGGGUCGUAAACCGCUUUCAGCAGGGAAGAGUCAAGACUGUACCUGCAGAAGAAGCCCCGGCUAACUACGUGCCAGCAGCCGCGGUAAUACGUAGGGGGCGAGCGUUAUCCGGAUUCAUUGGGCGUAAAGCGCGCGUAGGCGGCCCGGCAGGCCGGGGGUCGAAGCGGGGGGCUCAACCCCCCGAAGCCCCCGGAACCUCCGCGGCUUGGGUCCGGUAGGGGAGGGUGGAACACCCGGUGUAGCGGUGGAAUGCGCAGAUAUCGGGUGGAACACCGGUGGCGAAGGCGGCCCUCUGGGCCGAGACCGACGCUGAGGCGCGAAAGCUGGGGGAGCGAACAGGAUUGGAUACCCUGGUAGUCCCAGCCGUAACCGAAAGAGGCUAGGUGUGGGGGGACGAUCCCCCCGUGCC